rnacentral:tRNA from 3 species
GUGCUCAUAGCUUAACGGUAAAGCGUUGCUCUGUGGCAGCAGAUAUGAGGGUUCGAUUCCCUCUGAGCACC